GGGUAAGCAUUUUCAUGCUUAGAAAGCUCGAAUAACCGAAAAGUAAACUUACUGAGUAAUUAGCAUACAUCCACACUUAUAUCAUGAAAUCAUCAAUUAUGAAAUGAUUUCCUAUCACAUGCACUAAAUCAAUAAGUUAGUCACAUAGAAAAACAUCAUGUAAUUUAUGUAGGUGAGCUCACCAUUCAUCAUCUUAUUGACAUACAUCAUAUUAAUCCCAUUGAGUUUCUAGGAAAUCUCGAUGGAAUACCCAUUAUCCGUCAAUUCUUACGAAUGAUCAUUUCACAUAUAU
rnacentral:lncRNA from 1 species